ACCCCGACUAUGGAACGUUAUUUUUUUCUCUCUCUCUAUUCCCUCUCUCUGCCGCCCCCUCUGACCUUUUUCACCUCCGGCGAUUUCACCGUUCAUCUUCACAACCGGCACGGCGAACGCUGCUGGUUGCUGUCCUCUCGAUCCACUCCCAAUCUCUGAAUCACAAUUAAAACCCCUAAUUUCAUCUAGGGUUUUCAGCCUCUCGAAUUUUCCAACCUUCCGACGAGCAUCACCGUCGCCGUCGUCGCCGCGUCUUCACCCCGCCUGAGCCGAGACGCAGCUGCAGGUACUUCCCCCUUUCUCUCUCCAUGGCGGCUGUUGCGGAUUGCUGCUGCACAUGCAGCGCCCGCGACCGCGCCUUCGCUGUGGCGUGUGGCCGCUGCUGCCCUCUCUUAUUUCUCUCUUAUAGUUGGCUAACUGCCGGACGAGCUAGGGCUGCUGACCGAUCUGCAGUCUUCCACAUAAACUCCAACAGAUUCUACAGCCUUGUUUCUGAAUACCUUCAAAAAAUUGAAGUUGCUUUUCGAGCUGGAUUUGAUCAACAAUCGUUUCGUCGGGAUGUCUUCCUACACUUGCCACUAUCCCCAUAUAUAUUGGGUUUUAUAGAGCUCUUUCUAAUACAGCAGAUGAGCGAUUGUUAAUGGAAGGCUUCUUCUGGAUACCCUCACUAUUUGGUCCGACAACUGUUGCUGCUAGGCAAACUGGCAGUGGUACCCCUUAGCUUUUCCUCUACAUUGUUUAAACAAAGAGAGGAAGAGAUGAGGAAAGCUGAGGAGGCGGCAACUAAUGGGCAUCAGAUUACAAAUUGCUGUGAACGGUAAUGAAGUAAACUCAGAAUUGAAGGAUAAUGGGAGGUCAUCUGCUGAUAGGGAAGAAACUCAUGAUAAGAGUGAUGAUGAAGAUGGAAGCUAGGUGGAUGGUUCAAUUUAUUGGAUGCUUGGUGGUGAAUGUUCAAGGCUGGAGAUAUUAGAGGUUUUUUUUUUUUUGUAGAUAAAUGAAGGCGUAGUUAGUGAUGAUUCAAUUGUAAUGUCUUUUGAUGAAAUAUCAAACAAGAUGUUUGACUUUUAUUAUAUCAAUCGAGUUUUUAUUAAUGGUUUC